rnacentral:rRNA from 1 species
CCUACGGGUGGCAGCAGUGGGGAAUAUUGCGCAAUGGACGCAAGUCUGACCCAGCAACGCCGCGUGAAGGAAGAAGGCCUUCGGGUUGUAAACUUCUAUUAAGGGGGAAGAGCAGAAGACGGUACCCCUUGAAUAAGCCACGGCUAAAUACGUGCCAGCAGCCGCGGUAAUACGUAGGGGGCAAGCGUUUUCCGGAUUUACUGGGUGUAAAGGGCGUGCAGGCGGAGAGGGAAGUCAGAUGUGAAAGCCACGGGCUCAACCCGUGGAUUGCAUUUGAAACUGUUUCACGUGAGUGCCGGAGAGGUAAGCGGAAUUCCUUGUGUAGCGGUGAAAUGCGUAGAUAUAAGGAAGAACACCAGUGGCGAAGGCGGAUUACUGGACGAUAACUGACGGUGAGGCGCGAAAGCGUGGGGAGCGAACAGGAUUAGAUACCCGAGUAGUC